AACGGAUGCAAAUCAUUAUGCAAAAUCACAGUGAGACACAGAACAAUUGGGAGGUACAUAACUUCCCUCUAACUAGGAUCACCUUAACCAAAUCAAACCCCAAACAAAUCAUAAGUAUUGUAGAUGCUUUUCGAAUACAACCAAAGACAUAUCGACUUUUCCGGUUCCAUUCUUUCUCCUUUCCCGUUCUUUUCUCUUUUCUUUUCUUUUCUUUUUCUUUUUGUUAGCAUUUUUUACAUUUUUUUUACGGGGGAGUGGAACCGGUUCUCGUCUCACAAACUGCAUCAACAAAACUCAAUCAUGAUCGCUCACAGCACAUGCUCAUAAAAUGACAAUAUAACCACAAGAAUUCAAUGUCAGUCACCCCAAACAACUACAAUUACAAUCCUAGCUAUAGGAAAGCUAUGUCGGUUUGUAUACUCCGUAGUUUUUGCACAUGAAUGCACAUGAUGAAAAUGACACAAGAAUGCAUGUAGUAUGAAGCAUGGAUAUGGUUAAAGGUGUGGUACUUGACUAAAGAUGAGUCUAGUCUUUAGUCUAGCCAUUCAGAGUUUACAAAUAGUGGUAAAAUAACGCGGAUUAAACUUUGAAUGUAUGCUCCAUUACAUGAUUACCAACCCCCUAAGUGAGAUAUAAUAAGUCCAUAGUAAGUUCAAAUAAGCAAGGUUAAGCUCAAAUCAUCCAAAUUUUUAAGUGAGGGAUUAUACGAGUGAUCUAGUCAUGAAUUUUCCAAAAGUUCCAAGUUAUCCUUAAACAAUGCUAAAUGGUCCCAAGGCAAUGAAAUCAAGCAAGGUGCAAUUCCCUAAGAAAAGCUCAUAGUUCUCA
rnacentral:lncRNA from 1 species